rfam:Aspergillus glaucus CBS 516.65 unplaced genomic scaffold ASPGLscaffold_36, whole genome shotgun sequence.
GGGCGUGUAACUCAGUGGUAGAGUGCUCGCUUUGCAUGCGAGAAGUCCCGCGUUCAAUCCGCGGCUCGUCCA